rnacentral:piRNA from 1 species
UGCGUGGUCUAGAACCAGUGAAGGGCUCCUU